AGUGGACGCUGGCGGUAGGCCUAACACAUGCAAGUCGAACGGCAGCACAGUAAGAGCUUGCUCUUACGGGUGGCGAGUGGCGGACGGGUGAGGAAUACAUCGGAAUCUACUUUUUCGUGGGGGAUAACGUAGGGAAACUUACGCUAAUACCGCAUACGACCUACGGGUGAAAGCAGGGGAUCUUCGGACCUUGCGCGAUUGAAUGAGCCGAUGUCGGAUUAGCUAGUUGGCGGGGUAAAGGCCCACCAAGGCAACGAUCCGUAGCUGGUCUGAGAGGAUGAUCAGCCACACUGGAACUGAGACACGGUCCAGACUCCUACGGGAGGCAGCAGUGGGGAAUAUUGGACAAUGGGCGCAAGCCUGAUCCAGCCAUACCGCGUGGGUGAAGAAGGCCUUCGGGUUGUAAAGCCCUUUUGUUGGGAAAGAAAAGCAGCAGGUUAAUACCCCGCUGUUCUGACGGUACCCAAAGAAUAAGCACCGGCUAACUUCGUG
rnacentral:rRNA from 1 species